rnacentral:pre_miRNA from 1 species
UAUAUACUCCCUCCGUUCCGAAUUACUUGUCGCAGAUAUGGAUGUAUCUAGGUGUAUUUUAGUUCUAGAUACAUCCAUUUCUGUGACGAGUAAUUUGGAACGGAGGGGGUAGUUC